UGGCGGGAUUUUGGUCCAAUUAAAUUAAUCGGUGGUACAGCCAUAUAUUGAAGGUAAGGAGGUGUCAAUGGUCGUCAUUUUGUAAGCCGUUUAACUAUUUUCCUCACAUCAUCAGUUGUAUUGCCAACCCCCAUGGACCAAAGUACCAGAGAUAAUUUCUAGGUUUCAGAAAAAAGGGGUUCAAAUUGAAAGGCUUAAAGAUUUAUGAAUGCUCCAAACAUCUAGCACGUGCAAUAUGGGGUUGGUUGAUCAGUGGGGAUUGCAGUGUAUGAUAUUUGAUCCAAAUGCCAAUUCCUAGGGAUUUUGACUUCGAAAAACAGAAGGAAUGCAUUUACCGUACAUAAUAUACAUAUUUCAGAGAUAAGCCUUCUUCUUCAAGCAUCUAUACCAGUUUCAUCGUGUUUACAGGUGGUCCUUCUUUUGGACGAUUUUAUGUACAUUUCUACCCUCUGUCAUUGUUUUUGAUGGAUUCGUUAAUGUUUUUUUUCACAUAAUUAAUUGUUUUUUUAUGCA